GGAUGUGAGGGUGACUUGUCUGUGACAUCUGUCAGUCCAUUGAUCAUCGGGGUGACUUGGCGGAUCCGGCUGGUUAGAAGGUAUCCCCUUUCUCCUUCACUGCUCCACGUGUUUCCCUCCUGAAGCUGUGGACUCAGUGGAAGAGGGGCCCUUUCUGCACUUGGCCUUAUUGUGGAUUUUAUCCCGGGAUAGGAACCUGCCAUCCACGUGCUAGUGCAAACUAUAAAAGGUCUUGCCCAGGGCCUACCUUAGUCU
rnacentral:snRNA from 1 species